GACGAACGCUGGCGGCGUGCCUAAUACAUGCAAGUCGAACGGAAAGGCCCUGCUCUUGUGGGGCGCUCGAGUGGCGAACGCGUGCGUAAAACGCGCGUAUCCUGCACUUGACUUUGGGAUAACUUUAGGCAACUGGGGCUAAUACCGGAUAGGAGCUCCUGCUGCAUGGUGGGGGUUGGAAAGUUUCGGCGUUUGGGGAUGGUCUCGCGGCUUACCAGCUGGUUGGUGGGGUAGUGGAUUACCAAGGCUUUGACGGGUAGCCGGCCUGGGAGGGUGACCGGCCACAUUGGGACUGAGCUACGGCCCAGACUCCUACGGGAGGCAGCGGUGGGGAAUAUUGCACAAUGGGCGGAAGCCUGAUGCAGCAGCGCCGCGUGCGGGAUGACGGCCUUCGGGUUGUAAACCACUUUCGCCUGUGACAAAGCGUGAGUGACGGUAAUGGGUAAAGAAGCACCGGCUAACUACGUG
rnacentral:rRNA from 1 species